GGAGGAUUCAAGCGUUAUCCGGAUUUAUUGGGUGUAAAGGGUGCGUAGACGGGAAAGCAAGUUAGUUGUGAAAUCCCUCGGCUUAACUGAGGAACUGCAACUAAAACUACUUUUCUUGAGUGCAGGAGAGGUAAGUGGAAUUCCUAGUGUAGCGGUGAAAUGCGUAGAUAUUAGGAGGAACACCAGUGGCGAAGGCGACUUACUGGACUGUAACUGACGUUGAGGCACGAAAGUGUGGGGAGCAAA
rnacentral:rRNA from 1 species